UAAUCUAUCCAAUUCUACUAUCCAACUUUAUUUUAAAGUCAUCAGACUGUAAUAAAGUUGGGGUUAUCACGUGUCAGUUUACAUCUACGUGACUUGGCUCUUUAAUAUCUACCUAUUCACACUUUUCUUUUGUUUUUAAUCCUUAGCAGUAAUAAUGUAACAAAAAAUCAAAUUUUUGACACCAAACUUCUUUAUGGAUUGUUAUCGAUCCAGCUGUCACACUAAAGUGGAAUGAGUGCAUUUAAAGAGGGCAAGUUUAGAGUGUCAACGAUGGAUUUUUAUCAUCAUGCAUAGGAAGCCUGAGGUUGAUCACCCCAGACUGCAGGGAAAGAGCUAUGCACACGAACGAACAGCGGAAGCUAUAGCAGGGACUGCGUUCCAUAAGACGCAAUGCGCAACGUUUUGCAGAGGCUCCCCACCGAUUAUCGGUCGAGAUAUCUCACGCGAAGCCGCCCGAAUCGAAGUGAAAUUCGCAAUCGUAUCCGCCGAAUGCAACAACGGCGCAUUUAUUCGAUCUUUUUUUUUUAAUUUUCAUCAUUUUCACAAUUUGAAUAUCACGCUAUUAGCAACUUAACAACAACGAGAGUUAUUCUGAAUUUAAGGCAUGUAAUACAAAAUUUGAAAUUCUUUCUUUAAGUCAAAUAAUUACUUACAAGAAUAAAUAUUAUCUUAUAAAAGAAUUUUAUAUAUAAAUAUCAAAUAGUACAUAUAAAAAUAAAUAUUCCAAAA